rnacentral:lncRNA from 1 species
ACUCGCCACGGUGCUGUGGAAUUCUCUGGUUUUUCACGCAAGGUCAGGCGUCCUGCUGGCGCCCUCUCGCCACCCUGCCCUCCCGUCAGAAGCCCGGCUCCUCGCCGGGGAAGGCCGGAUGCUGGCCCGCCGGGACCUGGGACUUGUGCCACAUGGAGUGUCGGGAGUCUCCAUUGCCGCGAGUUCUACACCACAGGGCCAGGCUGUUUGCUCCCCAUCGGUCGCUGCCCCCAGCACCCUGUUGUUAUUAAGGACUCAUUUGCUUGGAGCGGCAUCAUUACAAGGGUGUGGGGUCGCGGCUCCUUUGUCCAGGACUACGCAGGGGCUUGACCCCAGGGCGCUGGUUUAGGCCGGAUCUGGGGUCCCUUGUCACUCCCAGGCUUCUUCCACUUCCGAAUUCUGGAGAACCGGGAAUCAAGCCCUGCGCGUUCCUCUUCUUCCUCCUUCGUGCCGAAAGCACGCUUCAUGUCUGCCAGGGCAUCAGUUCUGAAAGUGAGCGGAGAACAAGGAGUUUCUUUUUCUUCCCCAGAAGUUGCCUUUUGUAAGGACUAUGUCUGCGCCAGGGCUUGAUACAUGUUGCUACUCCUGGGAGUGUGAGACUGGGAAGCUGAUGGAAAUGUCAGCAUUAGCUUUAAUGGUGAGGCCAAAGGGAGGAUGGACCCAGCAUCAAGCCUGGGUAGAGGAGAACGGGAGAGGGAGGACCAGAACCAGGGGCCGCCUGUUCACUGCCUUGAGGUGUCUGAAUCCUGCCUUUGCUGUUUGUGAGCUCUAGCACUAUGGCACCAGAUACUGCUACACCAUCUCAUCGGCAUGGACCUAUAUGUGGCAGCAAGUCCAUCUCAUCGCUUUUGGUGAAAGUCAGUCCAGUUUGUAAAGAUUCUCAUUGUCACUGUAGACGAGGAACUGGGACACCAAAAGGAGAAACUCUGGCCACGCUUGCACCCUGUUCCCAAUCCUGGUCCAGUGUCACCCACAGAUGGUAAGGAGCUCUAGAGACCUCACCAGCCCCUGGGAUUGGUCACCUCACUCUUCUAUGGACAGAGAUUCCUGCUGGGAUCCUUUGAGGGCAAGCAGACCCUUCUUCCAGCUCGGACUGUGAACUCCACUGCAGCCGUAAGGACUGUCUGUGACAGUGAGCCCGAGAUGACUGGGCUCUGUGCUCCCUCCCGGCCCUCCAAUCCUUGGCCUGCCACAGAGAACUGAGCUCUUUUAUUAGCACCAUGAAUGUGACUGAUACAGCUAGCCAUUCCCUUGUGCGAAUGACUCAGUUUAUUAAUGCUCUGCUAAAGAUGGCUUCUUUGCUUGCCAGCAGCCUUAAACAGUAUUUCAUUAAAACUGGCUUAAUUAUUUUGAGAAGACGGCCCAAUUAAAAGCUAUACACUCCCUCUAUGUGAGUGUUUAUACAUAGAGCUGUAUAUAUAAUACAUAUUUGUAAGUGUGUAUAUAUAUAUGUGUGUAUGUAUGUGUCUAUAAAUAUAUAGGCUUAGCAAUUUCAUUACAUGGGAUAAAUUGUUGGAAAAAAUACCCAGGAGCUGGUCCCCUUUCUGUUGCUAGAUUCAGAGUAGAGGCCACCCCUCCACUCUGGGAGAGGCUGGUGUUGGUGAUCUCUCAAUGACUCUGCAAUGGAAGUCCCAACUGCACAGAGCCCUGCCCCAGUUUCAGGAGCCAGCAGCCUCGGAGAGGCGGAUCCUGACCUCUGCUCUGCUCUUGGGAUAGCCUUUCCCUUCCCAGCAGGGUUGAGAUACUUGGGCCGGGAAAUGUUGUGGCAAAGUGUUUGCCAAAGCUCAGGAGAGACACAGACUUGGGGCUUUUGUUUCUUGAGCUGGCUGUCUAGCUUUCCUAAUGAGCAAAUAUGUUCUCUUUAAGGAAACAAACAAACAAAGCAAAAACACCAAUUCAUCUGGAUUUUAUUCAUUUGUUUUAAAUACAAACAAACAAAAGGAGAGUGGUUAUUUCUGCACCAACUAUUUCAAAUGCAAGUUACUCCAUCGCUCGGGGUGGUUGGAUGGUGCUUGUCACCAUAGGACCCACAGGGCUAGUUCCAACUGUUAUUCGGUAAGGCUUUUUUCUUUCCAAAAUUCCCAGUGUUCCUUUAAGGCCCAUUUAGCUGCGGGUUUUGUUUAUUCUCCCGGCAAUCAGCAUUUAAAAUAAGACAAACAAGCAUUUUUUCCUGGGCUGUGAAUCCCCCCGGCCAGCCUCCACCUGCACACCUGAAGCCAGCAUGUCCAAUCAAAUUUCUCUGUAACCCAUAUCCCCUUUAGAGACUUGCCCCCGUCGUAUACCAGGCUGGAAAUAGAGAACUUAAGCAGGGCAAAUGUAAUUUUAAGAAUUGCUAAUGAUGCUAGAAAUCUGCAAUGCAAUUAGCGUCAUUGGAUUUGGCGCUCCUCCGAAGGCACAAAACUCCUUGUCAUAGCGCAGUGGCAGCAGCGGCAAGUGCCUCCGCAUGUGCCGGGCUGUCCGGGUAUGCUGGCAGCCGCUUUGCACUGAGAUGUGAGCAGUUGGUUAGGCUUCCUCUCUUUCUUUCUCACAGAUACUGACUUCUUUGUCUCUUUUCUGGGUUGCAGAGGGAUGGGUAUUUUCCAUUGAUUAUUACUUUAGCAUUUGACCCUCCAGUGGAGUCACCCUGUUUUUUUUUUAGAAAACUGAGACUCUCACUUUGUGAAUUCACUGUGCUCUCUGGGAUUUCAGUGCUGUAGUUCAACCACCAAUCCCCCUGUCCUGAACUCCAGUACUUCUGAUGCUAUUAAUUGGUUCCUCAACAAUUGUGGCCUUUUCCAUCAUUGCCCACCAUAGUAUAUACUUUUUCUUUCUCUCUCUUUUUUCUAAUUUCCUUGUCUUCUUCACUCUCCAUGGAGCCAGAGGUAGUAUGAAGAGUUAAAAAUAGGAAUAUAAAGAAAGCCAGAGGGACAGAGGGAGUGAGAAAGAAAAAUUUUAAAAAGGGAGGAAAUGAAUUAUUGGAUUAAAAAUAAACUUUUACUUUUUUGCAGAAAAAUUAUUUUUGCUCUCUGGGAAAAUAACAUGGGCCAGGCAUAAAAAGCAUGUCAGCUGGCUAAAAGAUUGCAAAAUCCAGAAGAUGAUCUCGAUGUGUCUGUUCAAUUUAGCAAGGGUAUCUACUAGGGGAUCCUCUUUUAAAUAUGGAGGCCCAAAUCAGAAGCUUGUAGAGGGGAGCUAUUCUUCCAAGAUUCCAGAUGUGUCUGUGAGACAACACGUUAUGGGGCAAAUUGAUUUCACCCUUGGGAAACCAGGGAGAUUUUCAAAGUUAUGUCUGCAAAGCCAGCUAAUGCAAUUCCCCAUUAGUGCAUUAAAGUGCGCCCUUAUUAAUUCAAACAUAAAGGCAACAAAAUAAGCUUUUAAAUUUAAAAUAUAAUACAUAUAUAAUGAGCAUGUGUGAAAGCCUUAUUCAAAUGAAAAUACAGGAGUGUUUGAACUACUGAGGUAUCUUUUGUAUUGAAUUAUGAGCAUAUGUAAUAGAUUUAAUUAUUAAUUUCCCCAUUGUUCUAUGCACACAGACAGGGUUCAAGGCACAGUCAUUCUCUGGCUUUCAUAGAUCUAAUUUGUAUAAUUAUUGCCUGAAUAAAAAAUUGCUCCAAUUCCUAGCUCUCUUUCUUUCUUUCCCCCUUCUAAAUACUAUUUCAAUGCUGCAUUCCAAAAGGGGAACACCUGCCACUUCUUCAAAGUCAGCUGAUCAUUUGGAAUGAUGGACGGCGCUGCUGCCG